UGGGGAAUUUUGGACAAUGGGGGAAACCCUGAUCCAGCCAUGCCGCGUGAGUGAAGAAGGCCUUCGGGUUGUAAAGCUCUUUCAGCCGGAACGAAAAGGUCACGGCUAAUACCCGUGACAAAUGACGGUACCGGAAGAAGAAGCACCGGCUAACUACGUGCCAGCAGCCGCGGUAAUACGUAGGGUGCAAGCGUUAAUCGGAAUUACUGGGCGUAAAGCGUGCGCAGGCGGUUUUGUAAGUCAGAUGUGAAAUCCCCGGGCUUAACCUGGGAACUGCGUUUGAAACUACAAGGCUAGAGUGUGGCAGAGGGGGGUGGAAUUCCACGUGUAGCAGUGAAAUGCGUAGAGAUGUGGAGGAACACCGAUGGCGAAGGCAGCCCCCUGGGUUAACACUGACGCUCAGGCACGAAAGCGUGGGGAGCAAACA
rnacentral:rRNA from 1 species